UAGCCUAGUGGUGAAGGCUAUGGAUCGCCAAUCCGGAGACGGCGGGUUCGAUUCCCGU
rfam:Aedes albopictus isolate Foshan contig79308, whole genome shotgun sequence.